rnacentral:rRNA from 1 species
AUUGAACGCUGGCGGGAGGCCUUACACAUGCAAGUCGAACGAGUGGCGGACGGGUGAGUAAUGUAUGGGAAACUGCCUGAUGGAGGGGGAUAACUACUGGAAACGGUAGCUAAUACCGCAUACCAUCAGAUGUGCCGAGAUGGGAUUAGCUUGUUGGUGGGGUAACGGCUCACCAAGGCGACGAUCCCUAGCUGGUCUGAGAGGAUGACCAGCCACACUGGAACUGAGACACGGUCCAGACUCCUACGGGAGGCAGCAGUGGGGAAUAUUGGACAAUGGGCGCAAGCCUGAUGCAGCCAUGCCGCGUGUAUGAUGAAGGCCUUCGGGUUGUAAAGUACUUUCAGCAGGGAAGCGUUACCUGCAGAAGAAGCACCGGCUAACUCCGUGCCAGCAGCCGCGGUAAUUC